rnacentral:rRNA from 1 species
CCCGGGUCUUGUACACACCGCCCGUCACACCAUGGAACGGGUUCUGCCAGAAGUAGUUAGCCUAACCGCAAGGAGGGCGAUUACCACGGCAGGGUUCGUGACUGGGGUG